rnacentral:rRNA from 1 species
GACGAACGCUGGCGGCAUGCCUUACACAUGCAAGUCGAACGGUAACAGGUCUUCGGAUGCUGACGAGUGGCGAACGGGUGAGUAAUACAUCGGAACGUGCCUGAUCGUGGGGGAUAACGAAGCGAAAGCUUUGCUAAUACCGCAUACGAUCUACGGAUGAAAGCAGGGGACCGCAAGGCCUUGCACGAACGGAGCGGCCGAUGGCAGAUUAGGUAGUUGGUGGGAUAAAAGCUUACCAAGCCGACGAUCUGUAGCUGGUCUGAGAGGACGACCAGCCACACUGGGACUGGGACACGGCCCAGACUCCUACGGGAGGCAGCAGUGGGGAAUUUUGGACAAUGGGCGAAAGCCUGAUCCAGCCAUGCCGCGUGCAGGAUGAAGGCCUUCGGGUUGUAAACUGCUUUUGUACGGAACGAAAAGACUCUGGUUAAUACCUGGGGUCCAUGACGGUACCGUAAGAAUAAGCACCGGCUAACUACGUGCCAGCAGCCGCCGUAA